AGCUGAGAGCCAGAAGGUAGGCUGUGAGCUCUGGUCCCUUCUCCAAAAGUACAUGGGGGAGCUGGCUGGGGCUCAAAAAUAUAUGUACAUAGCACUACAGGUGGAGGUCUGAUGGAACACUGGAAUGAAACCUGAUGGUGUUGAAGGAGAGCUCAAAUAGCAUGGUCUGUAAUGACUCAGGGGAACACAUUGUGACAGAACCCAAAAGGAAAACUGAGGUGAGGGACCACCUGCAGGGCUGCCCUGAGGCCAGGAGGGGUCACCCAGGAGGAGGCCAGGCGUUUACAACAGAACCAAAAGAAAUGUAUUCCCUGUUUUCAGGAAGAGGUGUAGGAACUGGGAAGGACUUGAAAAUAUCUACAAUCCUGUUUUGUCAUCACAAGUAAAGAGGAGAAAAACCUGCAGGAGAUGGAUGGAGUGGAGAAACCACACAGAAAUCUCCGGAAAGUUCCCCCCACUGAAGAGAACGUGCUGGGGAAACUCAAAGUGGAAGGGCUUAAGCGAUCAUGAAGAAGGAGCUGUGGGCAUGUGGGAUGAGCGCUUGAAACCAGCCAGAGCCACACUUUUUUGGGUGCUUAUGUUUCUAGAUGCCCCAUUUGAAACACCUAUGCAUGCAGAUACUACUGUGAUUGACUAGGAUCAUUUGUUUGAAGAAUCAAACACAGCAAGCUGAAUAUAAAAAAUUACAGUAACGUCUAAGUGCAACCUGCCUUAAGCAACUAUUCAAGAGCCAAGUGACAUUUAGUUGCCAAGUAAAGGUGGUUUUUAAUUACAGAUUGAACAAAUUGUACUGGAAACCUUAGUUUAAAGUGGUUGUUUAAGACAAGAGACUGCUGACUGAAUGGAGGCCUUUACUGUAACUAACACUUAAGUAAGGAGUGGUUUCCAGAAGAGUCAAAAGCAGUUGAUUUCAUUGUUCUUGGCUCACAUCUACUCCGCUUUAGUCUUGCGACUUUUAUGCUUUUGUAUGUAUGAUUAUUAGGAGAGAAAAAACACUCUAUCCUUCAAGUUUCAUUGUUUUCGAGUAUAGAUAAGUCCAACAACAUUAUUGUAAAUACCAGUCAUUCUUUUUAUUUUCCCCAUAAUUUUAUGUGACACUUCCAUAAAAAUAAUGGCAGUCUUAUCUGGAAUCUACUUGUAAACGCUGGAGAAAAUUCUAUAAAUAAUCCUGCAGUCCUCUCACUAUUGUAUAAACUCCCAUGAAUUUCCUGUGAGGGUUGAGUGCUUUGUAAAAGAGGCUGAUUGAACCAAAAACUCCUGGUUCCAUAUUACUGUCCCCCCCCCU